GAGGAUGUUGCUCAAACGGUGGAGCACUUGCUUUGCAUGCAAGAGGUACGGGGAUCGAAACACUGCAUUUCCA
rfam:Nelumbo nucifera unplaced genomic scaffold scaffold00043, whole genome shotgun sequence